AGCUUUGAGCAGUGGCAGUAUUGUAGCCAAGGAGGUUUAUCCGAGGCGCGAUUAUUGCUAAUAGAAAAUGUAAGAAAGAGCUUCUUUAAACAUCCACCUCAUCAAUUUAGCAACAUAAAUUCAAAGGGUGUCAAAAGCUA
rnacentral:snRNA from 1 species